rnacentral:rRNA from 1 species
UACGAAGGGGGCGAGCGUUGUUCGGAUUUACUGGGCGUAAAGGGCGCGCAGGCGGUUCUGUUUGUCGAGUGUGAAAGCCCCGGGCUCAACCUGGGAACUGCGCUCGAAACGGCGGAACUAGAGUUCGGGAGAGGAGAGUGGAAUUCCUAGUGUAGAGGUGAAAUUCGUAGAUAUUAGGAAGAACACCAGUGGCGAAGGCGGCUCACUGGCCCGGUACUGACGCUGAGGCGCGAAAGCGUGGGGAGCAAACAGG